GACGAACGCUGGCGGCGUGCUUAACACAUGCAAGUCGAGCGGUAAGGCCCUUUCGGGGGUACACGAGCGGCGAACGGGUGAGUAACACGUGGGUGACCUGCCUCUAGCUCUGGGAUAAGCCUGGGAAGCUGGGUCUAAUACCGGAUAUGACCUCGCGGUGCAUGUUGCGGGGUGGAAAGCCUUGUGCGGCUAGGGAUGGGCCCGCGGCCUAUCAGCUUGUUGGUGGGGUGANGGCCUACCAAGGCGACGACGGGUAGCCGGCCUGAGAGGGCGACCGGCCACACUGGGACUGAGACACGGCCCAGGCUCCUACGGGAGGCAGCAGUGGGGAAUCUUGCGCAAUGGGCGAAAGCCUGACGCAGCGACGCCGCGUGAGGGAUGACGGCC
rnacentral:rRNA from 1 species